rnacentral:sRNA from 1 species
ACAUGCUUACUUCCUCUUCACCUUCCUUCAUGAUGUGGGAAGAGUGCUGCAACCCAGCCCUAGCCAACGCCGCAUGAGAGGGAGUGUGCUGAGGGCUUCUGAGAAGGUUUCUCUCACAUCUAGAAAGAAGCGCUUAAGAUGUGGCAGCCCCUCUUCUUCAAGUGGCUCUUGUCCUGUUGCCCUGGGAGUUCUAAAAUUGCUGCAGCAGCCUCCACCCAGCCUGAGGAUGACAUCAAUACACAGAGGUAGAAGAGUCAGGAAAAGAUGAGAGAAGUUACAGACUCUCCUGGGCGACCCCGAGAGCUUACCAUUCCUCAGACUUCUUCACAUGGUGCUAACAGAUUUUUACCAUUGGAAUGACAUACUGCAUCCUAUAGUUAUCCCAUCCACUUUGAAAUCAAUGUGAAUUUAACUUCAAUUCCAUACAGAAACUUCUUUUCCACAGAUGGAGUUUAAGCCCAAGCUGGAGUGCGAUGGUGCAAUCCCAACUCACUGCAACCUCUGCCUCCCAGGUUCAAGCUAUUUUCCUGGGUUAGCCUCCCGAGUAGCUGGAAUUACAGAUGUGCGCCCCCAUGA